rnacentral:lncRNA from 10 species
CUGAUUUCCCUCUGGGAAGGGGCUGGCCCAGGGUUGCACAGUGAGGGUGGGGGCAGAGGUGGGCCCAUUGUUACCUCCCUUGUUGGGUUGUCUGAGGAGCCCUCUGGCCACUCCCCACAGGAGAUGCACUGGACAGGGAGGAGGUGGAGGAGGAGGAGGCACCUCAGCCCAUGCCAAGCAUCCCAGAGGAACUGGAGAGCCGGGAGGCCAUGGUGAGCCUGACUCUUCCUACCCCAGCUUUGCUGUCUCCCUUGGUGGUCCCUCCCAGACCCCCUUUCGCUCUUGGUUUCCCACCUUCUGAUUUCUCCGGACCCUCUAAGUCAUGCAGCAUCUCUGCGGGGGUGGGUGUGGAGGUGGGUGUGGGCACGGGUGUGGCAACUGACCACCUUUCCCUCCAGGUAGAGCUGGUGUUUCCGCUUGUGAGCGACCAUAACCAGGGACGUGGUGGAUUGCGGGCAGCUGCCCAGAACCCUGCUGAAGAGUCUGCACCAGGGACCCCGGUCCCUCAGGAGCUCAGGGCUGCCAACAAGCAGGGUGGAUAUUAUGGACACUGACAAAACAAUGCAAACUUUGCUCUCCUUGGUCAGACAGUACAACCCAAAGAUGGUCAAAGUCGCAAGGUAUGUAUGACAUUUUGACGUAUAAUAUUUUUCUCAUUUGAAGGAGGAUUAAGAGAUUACUUCUUCGUA